AUUUUGAAUUUUUUAUUUUAUCACAUGAUGGAGAAUUGACACAAAGUGGCAUUCACAGUCAUUAAAUGAGAAUAUCCAUCUCAUCAGAUUUCCCCUGUGUAAAAACUCUUUUAUGAAACUCUCCAGGUGUUAUGCUGUUUUUUUUAGGUGCUUCAGGUUUUUGUUCAAGGAGUGAGUGAAGAUGAAGCACUGUGAUAUUUAGACUACUGGGGGAAUGGAACAACUGUAACGGUUCUGCCAGAUACAAAUUCUCCCUCUGUUCCACCGACCCUUUUUGUCCUGAGUCCCCUGCAGAGUCCUGGCUACCCCCUGAAGACAGCAGACGAAGUCGUUCCAAAUGUCUGUCUGGUCACAGAUUUCCAUCCGAAGGGGGAUGACGUGGUUCUGAAUCUGAGAGGAGGUCCGGUCAACGUGAGCACUGAUAAAGUUGUUCUGUCAAAGAACAACACCUACUACUUUGCUGCAUUCAGCAAUGAAACCAUCUACUCAUGUAGCAUGAACAGGAUGAUUGGCAACAAUGAAGCAGAUGAUGCAUGUGGGAACAUUAAUCCAGAAAAAGCCAAGCUGAACUUCUACCUGCUGCUGAUGAACGGAGUCCGAGUGGUGUUCACCAAAGCUCUGGCCUUCAGCACCGUCAUCACCAUCAGAGGCCUGAUAUUCUAACACUGACCCUUCAAGGCCACCAUGCAGGCUGUCAGUAAAGCACACCAACUUACCUGUAGAGGAAAACUGUUCAUGCAAUUCAAAUUUAAAUCCAUGAUCUUUUAAAAGGCAAUACAAAAAACAUCACCACUGAGGUGACUAGGGUCACUUAUACAGUCUGAAACCUGCAUACAAAACACACAUAAAAGUCUUAUUAUUUUUUAAUUUAGCAGUUUGUGCCAAUGGUGAGAAAUAUGUCUUUAAAAUACCUUAUGAACAGAAAUGCAUUUAUUACAAAAAUAAAUAUUCUACAAUACUUGGCUUAAAAAACAUUUACAAAUUGAAUUAAAGAAUAUAUGAAAUAAAUUAAAUAUAUGACUUUGUUGUCAGUUUAUAAAAAACAUGAACGACUGCUAAAAAGUAAAACAAAGAAAUAGCUUUAGAAAAAGGAAGGAAUUUGUAAUUUGUAACUAUUAUUUCUUAAAUUUAGCUUAGAAAUUGCUUUAUUUUUUGCUUCAAGUCAUCAAGUCAUGUUUGUUGGAUUUAAUUGUGUUCAUGUAAACCUUUCCUCUGUACUUUAUCUGUUUCAUUCUGUGUUUUAGUCCUGCAGAUCAGUAAAUAAAACUUUAAUGCAGCC